GGCGCGAUGGCCGAGUGGUUAAGGCGACAGAUUUGAAUCUCUACUAUCUGUUGGGAUAUUCCCGCGUAGGUUCAAACCCUGCUCGCGUCG